rnacentral:rRNA from 1 species
UGCGUAGGCGGUUAAGUAAGUUAUCUGUGAAAUCCCUGGGCUCAACCUGGGUGUGAAAGAUGAUACUGCUUGACUGGAGUGUGGUAGAGGGGGGUAGAAUUCCAGGUGUAGCGGUGAAAUGCGUAGAGAUCUGGAGGAAUACCGAUUGCGAAGGCAGCCCCCUGGACAGUGACUGACGCUCAUAUGCGAAAGCGUGGGGAUCAAACAGGAUUAGAUACCCGGGUA